rnacentral:rRNA from 1 species
GACGAACGCUGGCGGCGUGCUUAACACAUGCAAGUCGAAUGGAAAGGCCCUGCUUUCGUGGGGUGCUCGAGUGGCGAACGGGUGAGUAACACGUGAGUAACCUGCCCUUGACUUUGGGAUAACUUCAGGAAACUGGGGCUAAUACCGGAUAGGAGCUCCUGCUGCAUGGUGGGGGUUGGAAAGUUUCGGCGGUUGGGGAUGGACUCGCGGCUUAUCAGCUUGUUGGUGGGGUAGUGGCUUACCAAGGCUUUGACGGGUAGCCGGCCUGAGAGGGUGACCGGCCACAUUGGGACUGAGAUACGGCCCAGACUCCUACGGGAGGCAGCAGUGGGGAAUAUUGCACAAUGGGCGGAAGCCUGAUGCAGCAACGCCGCGUGCGGGAUGACGGCCUUCGGGUUGUAAACCGCUUUCGCCUGUGACGAAGCGUGAGUGACGGUAAUGGGUAAAGAAGCACCGGCUAACUACGUG